rnacentral:rRNA from 1 species
CUUCCACAAUGGACGAAGUCUGAUGGAGCAAUGCCGCGUGAGUGAAGAAGGGUUUCGGCUCGUAAAACUCUGUUGUUAAAGAAGAACACCUUUGAGAGUAACUGUUCAAGGGUUGACGGUAUUUAACCAGAAAGCCACGGCUAACUACGUGCCAGCAGCCGCGCUAAUA